AUUGAACGCUGGCGGCAGGCCUAACACAUGCAAGUCGAGCGGAAACGAGUUAUCUGAACCUUCGGGGAACGAUAACGGCGUCGAGCGGCGGACGGGUGAGUAAUGCCUAGGAAAUUGCCCUGAUGUGGGGGAUAACCAUUGGAAACGAUGGCUAAUACCGCAUAAUGCCUACGGGCCAAAGAGGGGGACCUUCGGGCCUCUCGCGUCAGGAUAUGCCUAGGUGGGAUUAGCUAGUUGGUGAGGUAAUGGCUCACCAAGGCGACGAUCCCUAGCUGGUCUGAGAGGAUGAUCAGCCACACUGGAAACUGAGACACGGGUCCAGACUCCUACGGAAGGCAGCAGUGGGGAAUAUUGGACAAUGGACCAAAAGUCUGAUCCAGCAAUUCUGUGUGCACGAUGAA
rnacentral:rRNA from 1 species